rnacentral:rRNA from 1 species
UACGUAGGGUGCGAGCGUUGUCCGGAAUUACUGGGCGUAAAGCGCUCGUAGGUGGUUUGUCGCGUUGUUCGUGAAAACCUGAGGCUUAACCUUGGGCGUGCGGGCGAUACGGGCAGACUGGAGUACUGCAGGGGAGACUGGAAUUCCUGGUGUAGCGGUGGAAUGCGCAGAUAUCAGGAGGAACACCGGUGGCGAAGGCGGGUCUCUGGGCAGUAACUGACGCUGAGGAGCGAAAGCGUGGGGAGCGAACAGG